AUUGAACGCUAGCGGGAUGCUUUACACAUGCAAGUCGAACGAGUGGCGGACGGGUGAGUAAUAUAUCGGAACGUGCCCGGUAGCGGGGGAUAACUACUCGAAAGAGUAGCUAAUACCGCAUACUAUCGGAUCUGCCCAUAUCGGAUUAGCUAUUUGGUGGGGUAAAGGCUCACCAAGGCCACGAUCCCUAGCUGGUUUGAGAGGACGACCAGCCACACUGGAACUGAGACACGGCCCAGACUCCUACGGGAGGCAGCAGUGGGGAAUUGUGGACAAUGGGGGAAACCCUGAUCCAGCCAUCCCGCGUGUAUGAGAAGGCCUUCGGGUUGUAAAGUACUUUUAGCAGGGAAGCGGUAACUGCAGAAUAAGCACCGGCUAACUACGUGCCAGCAGCCGCGGUAAUUC
rnacentral:rRNA from 1 species